UAUGUGAUCGUCUCUUGCAUAUCAAUAAGCGGAGGAAAAGAAACUAACAAGGAUUCCCCUAGUAACGGCGAGUGAAGCGGGAAGAGCUCAAAUUUGAAAUCUUAAAGGGUUUCCCUUUACGAAUUGUAGUUUAAAGAAGUGUUUUCUGUUGAGGUUUUGGUAAAGGUUCUUUGGAAUAGGACAUCAUAGAGGGUGAGAAUCCCGUAUUUGACCUUUACUUUCAACUUUGUGAUACACUUUCAAAGAGUCGGAUUGUUUGGGAAUGCAGUCCAAAAUGGGUGGUAAAUUUCAUCUAAAGCUAAAUAUUGGCGAGAGACCGAUAGCGAACAAGUACCGUGAGGGAAAGAUGAAAAGAACUUUGAAAAGAGAGUUAAACAGUACGUGAAAUUGUCAAAAGGGAAGCGUUUGACACCAGUGUUGUUUUUCUGAAAAUCAAUUAAAGAACUGUUUAUGCUAAGUUGUUUAGACUUUAUCAGCUAUCUGUUUAGUUUUGAGCUUUUCUUUAAUGCACUUUUCAGUUAACAAGUCAACAUCAAUUUCUUUUGCUGUAAAAAAGCUUGAGGAAGGUGGCUUGAGAUUCGUCUUAAGUGUUUAUAGCCUCUUGCCUAUGCAGUCGGAGAGAUUGAGGUCUGCAGCGUAGAUCCUUCGGGGCUAAAUGCAUUUGUGCUAAGUUAUAGCAUUUUAUAGACAACUUGUUGACUAUGAUUUGUCUUGUAGCUUACUCGCUUAUGUUAUUUUACCUACGCUUAGGAUGUUGAUCUGUAGUGCGUGCGC
rnacentral:rRNA from 1 species